AUAAAUUAGGGCUUUCUCCUCGUGCUCCCUGCGAUUGCGCCGCCCCCGAUUCGCCCAAUCCAAUGCCGCGCGCCUCCAGGGCCCCGAAUCCCCCUCCCCCCGCCGCCGCCGCCGCGGAGAAUGGUGAGAACCCCCCCGCCCAAUCCUCCUCCGCGUGGGGGUUCUUCGUGUUUUUUUUUUGUUAGGAUGUUUGGUUCGCGUGGAUUCGUUGCGGCCGCGGGCUGGUGGUAAUUCCGAUGCAUUGUUGGGUUGUGUUGAUGGCUUUGGUUCGGGAGAUUCCGGUUCUUGGUUCGGGGGGGAUUUCGCGUAGAUGUGCCCCACGGUUUAGUUGCGACUUGAGUACGGAUUGCUCGAAUCAUCCAUGAUCGGAUCCUGAUGUCGCGUUAAUCGAGUGGUUUUAGUACUGGGAGUAGAGAAAUGUCAUCAGGAAAGACGCAGCCGGGCCAGAAUUUUUUUUUCUUUUUUGGCUUUGGGAAUUCGGCACGCGGCUCCACAGCGGCCGCUAUGUAGGGAUAAUUCAGAAGUAACUGCUGUUGUUUUGAUUGUUAUGCUAUGGAAUCUUGUAAAGAUGGGCAGGUGUUUCUUUAUUUGUGUUGGAUUGGGGAGCUACAUAAUCAAAUGCCUUUCUUUUGAUGGUCUGUUUCACUAAAAGAAAAAAUAUCAUGCUGCUGGGUUUCCUUUCCAAAGAAAUGUAAUCUGUUCCUUGAGAAUUGGCUGUAUGAACUGUUAAUUGGUGGCAAUCAAACUGCUCUUUUUCCCUUG
rnacentral:sRNA from 1 species